UGCGUAGGCGGCUUUUUAAGUCGGAUGUGAAAUCCCUGAGCUUAACUUAGGAAUUGCAUUCGAUACUGGAAAGCUAGAGUAUGGGAGAGGAUGGUAGAAUUCCAGGUGUAGCGGUGAAAUGCGUAGAGAUCUGGAGGAAUACCGAUGGCGAAGGCGGCUUUCUGGACGAUAACUGACGCUGAGGCGCGAAAGCGUGGGGAGCAAACAGGAUUAGAUACCCUUGUA
rnacentral:rRNA from 1 species